CCUACGGGUGGCAGCAGUGGGGAAUAUUGCACAAUGGGGGAAACCCUGAUGCAGCGACGCCGCGUGAGUGAAGAAGGAAUUCGGGAUGUAAAGCUCUAUCAGCAGGGAAGAAAAUGACGGUACCUGAGCAAGAAGCCACGGCUAACUACGUGCCAGCAGCAGCGGUAAUACGUAGGGGGCAAGCGUUAUCCGGAGUUACUGGGUGUAAAGGGAGCGUAGACGGCAGGGCAAGUCUGGAGGGAAAGGCGGGGGCUCCACCCCCGGACUGCGCGGGAAACUGUACGGCUGGAGUGCAGGAGAGGUCAGUCGAAUUCCUCGUGUAGCGGUGAACUGC
rnacentral:rRNA from 1 species